UACGUAGGGGGCAAGCGUUGUCCGGAUUUAUUGGGCGUAAAGAGCGUGUAGGCGGCCUGACAGGUCUGCUGUGAAAACUCGAGGCUCAACCUCGAGAUGUCGGCGGAAACCGUCUGGCUAGAGUCCGGAAGAGGAGAGUGGAAUUCCUGGUGUAGCGGUGAAAUGCGCAGAUAUCAGGAGGAACACCUAUGGCGAAGGCGGCGACCUGGGUCGAGACUGACGCUGAGGCGCGAAAGCGUGGGGAGCAAACAGG
rnacentral:rRNA from 1 species